AGGGCACCACCAGGAGUGGAGCCUGCGGCUUAAUUUGACUCAACACGGGAAAACUCACCCGGCCCGGACACCGUAAGGAUUGACAGACUGAGAGCUCUUUCUUAAUUCGGUGGGUGGUGGUGCAUGGCCGUUCUUAGUUGGUGGAGCGAUUUGUCUGGUUAAUUCCGAUAACGAACGAGACUCUGGCCUAUUAAAUAGGCGAUACAUAGAAAAGUGUAUCGAACUUCUUAGAGGGACAAGCGGCGUCUAGCCGCAUGAAAUAGAGCAAUAACAGGUCUGUGGUGCCCUUAGAUGUCCGGGGCUGCACGCGCGCUACACUGAAAGAGUCAGCGUGCGUUUUACCUAGUUCGGAAGAACCGGGUAACCCAAGUAAAUUCUUUCGUGCUUGGGAUAGAGAAUUGCAAUUAUUUCUCUUAAACGAGGAAUUCCCAGUAAAUGCGGGUCAUAAGCUCGCGUUGAUUACGUCCCUGCCCUUUGUACACACCGCCCGUCGCUACUACCGAUUGGAUGACUUAGUGA
rnacentral:rRNA from 1 species